rnacentral:rRNA from 1 species
UACGAAGGGGGCUAGCGUUGUUCGGAAUUACUGGGCGUAAAGGGCUCGUAGGUGGCCAACUAAGUCAGACGUGAAAUCCCUCGGCUUAACCGGGGAACUGCGUCUGAUACUGGAUGGCUUGAGUUUGGGAGAGGGACGCGGAAUUCCAGGUGUAGCGGUGAAAUGCUUAGAUAUCGUCAAGAACACCGAUAGUGAAGACAGCUUACCAAGCUUCAACUGACGCUGAGGCACGAAAGUGUGGGGAUCAAACAGG